rnacentral:rRNA from 1 species
GACGAACGCUGGCGGCGUGCUUAACACAUGCAAGUCGAACGGAAAGGCCCUGCUUUUGUGGGGUGCUCGAGUGGCGAACGGGUGAGUAACACGUGAGUAACCUGCCCUUGACUUUGGGAUAACUUCAGGAAACUGGGGCUAAUACCGGAUAGGAGCUCCUGCUGCAUGGUGGGGGUUGGAAAGUUUCGGCGGUUGGGGAUGGACUCGCGGCUUAUCAGCUUGUUGGUGGGGUAGUGGCUUACCAAGGCUUUGACGGGUAGCCGGCCUGAGAGGGUGACCGGCCACAUUGGGGCUGAGAUACGGCCCAGACCCCUACGGGAGGCAGCAGUGGGGAAUAUUGCACAAUGGGCGGAAGCCUGAUGCAGCAACGCCGCGUGCGGGAUGACGGCCUUCGGGUUGUAAACCGCUUUCGCCUGUGACGAAGCGUGAGUGACGGUAAUGGGUAAAGAAGCACCGGCUAACUACGUG